UGUUGUUGUUGUUGUUCUUGUUGUUGUUGUUGUUGUUGUUGUUAUUGUUGUUGUUGUUGUUGUUGUUGUCGUCGUCGUCUUCGUUGUUCAUGUUGUUGUUCUUGUUGUUCUUGUUGUAGUUCUUGUUGUUCGAGUUGUUGUUGUUGUUGUUGUUGUUGUUUUUCCUCUCGUUUUUGUUGUGGUUGUUGUUGAUGUUGUCGUUGUUUUUGUUGUUGUCGUUGUUGUCGUCGUUCUCGUCAUUGUCGUUGUUAUCAUUGUUGGUGUCGUCAUCAUCGUAGUCAUUGCCGUUUUUGUCGUCGUCGCUGUUGUUGUUGUUGCGGCGGCUGCUGCUGUUGCUU
rnacentral:lncRNA from 1 species